rnacentral:misc_RNA from 1 species
GAUGAAGAACGUAGCGAAAUGCGAUAAGUAAUGUGAAUUGCAGAAUUCAGUGAAUCAUCGAAUCUUUGAACGCACAUUGCGCCCCUUGGUAUUCCGAGGGGCAUGCCUGUUCGAGCGUCAUUAUAACCCUCAAGCUCAGCUUGGUGUUGGGGCCUGCUGCACUGGCAGCCCUUAAAAUCAGUGGCGGCGCCAUCUGGCUCUAAGCGUAGUAAUUCUUCUCGCUAUGGAGUCCUGGUGGAUGCUUGCCAUCAACCCCCAAUUUUUCUAUGGUUGACCUCGGAUCAGGUAGGGAUACCCGCUGAACUUAAGCAUAUCAAUAAGCGAAGGA